GUAAAUAUAGCUUAAUUAAAGCACUAGAUUGUGAUUCUAGAGAAAGAAGUGAAACCCUUCUUAAUUACC
rnacentral:tRNA from 1 species